rnacentral:rRNA from 1 species
ACGAACGCUGGCGGCGUGCUUAACACAUGCAAGUCGAACGUGAUUUUUGUGGAAAUUCUUUCGGGAAUGGGACUGAAAUGAAAGUGGCGAACGGGUGAGUAACACGUGAGCAACCUACCUUACACAGGGGGAUAGCCGUUGGAAACGACGAUUAAUACCGCAUGAGACCACAGAAUCGCAUGAUAUAGGGGUCAAAGAUUUAUCGGUGUAAGAAGGGCUCGCGUCUGAUUAGCUAGUUGGAAGGGUAAAGGCCUACCAAGGCGACGAUCAGUAGCCGGUCUGAGAGGAUGAACGGCCACAUUGGAACUGAGACACGGUCCAAACUCCUACGGGAGGCAGCAGUGGGGAAUAUUGCACAAUGGGGGGAAACCUGAUGCAGCGACGCCGCGUGAGCGAAGAAGGUUUUCGAAUCGUAAAGCUCUGUCCUAUGAGAAGAUAAUGACGGUAGCAUAGGAGGAAGCCCCGGCUAAAUACGUG